UGAACGUCUGACUUUUUGCUGAAAUUAGUGCUAAGAUGCAGUGAAGCCAGGAUUUCAGGUUAAUAGUCUUGAAAGAAGAAUGACAGCCAUGACAUAGAUUUCUUGACUCUUCUCAUACACUUUUGCACUGGACAUGUAAUUUCCUGUUAAGGUUUACAGGAUUCUUCAAAAGAACCAAACAACAAAAAACACCAAACACCACCACCAACAACAAAAUAAAACCCCGUAGAAGUAAUAAUUAUUAAUUUAUUAUGUUAAAAGAUUUUUCAUAAAGGAAUACUGGAGUCCUUUAUUUAUGAUUUCAUAGUGCCUUUCUCACACUGCAUCUGAAUUAUAUUGCACUGCUUCCAGAAAAUGCAAAGAAAAACUAAAAUGCAGAAAUAAAUUCUUAUUUCCAUUUUUAUUAGAGAAGUUUACAUGUUGAUUCAGUGAAUCUAUAAGAAGGAUGUCAUGCUUCACGAGACAAGAUAGCAGCAACAUAGGUGUGUUAAGGCCCAUGUGCAGACCUUCAUUGGUCUUAUUGUGACCCAAAGAUAGGGAUUUGGAAUCGAUGGCAGUUUUAAUACUGCCUAAAGUCUCUAUCAGCCUAGAGCUGGGUACAACUCAUGUAGAUGUAUCAUACUUUCUGCCUUCCUUGAGGUCUUUAAGACAGAGGAAUUAGCAAACAUGCAAUUUAAGAUGGUCUUUGUAUAAAACAAGCUCCAAGGAGAAUCAGAAUCUCUCAUUCCACAGCUAUUUUGUGUCAGACCUAUUUAGUUUCACCUUUAUAGAAAAGAUAAGUCCAGCUAAAUAGCUCACAGUUCUAAUUUUCGUAAGGAAUGAUCCACACAGCUCAAAUAAUAACCUCAGGCACAAAUGGCAGAAAGUGAAGCUUGUUCAUGGAGAGUGGCAAAUCUUUGAGUUGUACAUUCAGAGCUAUUUGUCCACAUAGUAAGAAGCACCAUGUUACUAGAUCAAAGGUGGCAAGGGCACAUCUGCAGUACUUAUAAAAUCCAUAGUAGCAGUAUUUACCAAUAAGAGUCUCCAAAUAUUCCCUGUUUUUGAAUCAGAUUAUGUACUAGAACAGCUGCAACAGACCAAACUGCAUAUCCAGUACCUGCUCAUCACAGCCAGUCUGGCAAAAAGACAAAGAGAACAAAUACAGCAAGCUUAAAUCCUCAAUCUUUGCAUCCUCUAUCAGCAACAAAGCUGAUGGAAAACUAUGAGGUAAAACCAUCAGAAUAUUUAGCUGUAUUACAGCCAGGGCUGUUCAGCCUGCAGAAGAGAAAUAUCCAGGAAGACCUGAUAGUAGCCUUUCAGUAUCUAAAGGGGAGCACCCUGAUGUGGCUGUAGGUGUCCCUGUUCAUUGCAGGGGGGUUGGACAAGAUGGACUUUAAGGGUCCCUUCCAACUCAAGCAGUUCUAUGGUUGUAUGGACUCUGGUGGUUCGGGCACUCAGAUCUUUCCUUUAUGAGAAUCUCCAAGUAAGUGUUUCAGGAAUGUUCACAGCUACUUGUUUUUUACACUGAUGAGACUGAACAACUCUUAAGCUAAACUGGUGAAAUUCAUCCUGGGAAAAUGUGCUAAACCAAGCUUGCAUUUUAAAGAAAGAAUUUGUUUCCAGAAUGUUACUUGUUGUUUAGUGUAUUGAAUAAUUUUGGUCCCAUGGAUGGAGACAGGGUUUUGUUUAUUUAUCUGAAAAUCAGAAUUUUGCAGAGCUGUGCCAAGCUGUAAACUUUUCAAUUCUCUGAUCCUAGCACUCAGCACAGUGUCCAACAAAAGGCUGUACAAAGCCAGAGACCACUCAGGCUUCGCAGUUGCUGGCUUCAGUCGUCUUUACAAUUGUUUAUGUGAAUGCAGACCCGGGAACAGUGGCAUUAUGCCAGACCUUUCCCAGAAUCGCUGAGGGCUGAUACAGCUUCUCAUAUUAAUCCACCUCUGACAGUGCCACAACUGAGAAAACCCAGAGGGUAGCUGUGCCCUGACAGCGUCCCUCUUGCCAUGCCCUACAACACUGCUGGGGUUCUUACUUGAUGGAAAAAAUGAUUUGGCACAGACAGCCUUUGGUCAUCUGGGGAUGCCUAGCCUUGCUAAGUCUUCUAUGGAACAGAGACGUGUCCCUCCACGAGUUUUUAUUGUAUUUUACUGAUAACAUCAAAUUCAACAAAGAAACACAGAAUAUUACGGCAAGGAAAAAAAGGAGAUGGGUAUAAAACAGCAAUAAAACUGAAAGGAAAUUCAGUUUUAGAAGUUUAAAUGCUUUCACACAGCUUCACUGCAGAGGCUUGACAGUCAAAUAUUAAACAUUACACCAUCUCACUGAAUUUUAUGUCAUUAUGGUAACAAUGUUAUUAAACUUGAUAUGGCUUUACUUUUAAUUUCAAUGAAACAUAUUUCCUGAUCUUUUCAUAAAAAUGACCUUUGGGAACCAUAACAAUCUAGGCAUUUCUUUAUUUAUCCUGCUGCAUCAGCUAAUACUUCCAAUCAGAAUCUAUAUCGAAAAGAAAAUGAAAGCCCUCACCAUAAUGUUGCUAGCUUGAUGUUUUAUUAGAACAAGAUAAAAGCUGGGUUUUAUGAAAUUACUUUGUGUGUUACUGUGAGCAAGACAGUGUCAGUGCAAUCUGCUUUUGUAAAGAUUACUUUAUAGUCUUUUUGUUUCUUUCCUGUAUUUGAUACCUACUUUUUCUGUUUUGAAAAGUUUACUUUUAUAAUACAGCCUUUUCACUAAGUAAAAAAAAAGCAAAUACAUUUGUGUGAUAUCUAAGCAAGCCACUCUUUUUUUUUUUUUUUAAAUAACCUUUUCAUGCUUUCCAUGGACAGAACAGCGGUAGUCAUUUCCACUGUUGGUUGAAUUUUAGAGACAGCUGGUAUUGCUGAGAGCCUAUGGGGUCCAUUAGACAACAAGUUGUGCAAGAGUCAGAAAAACUUGAAUCCUGCAUUUAACUCAGUUUUCCCACUGCCCUUCUCUGCACAACACUGUGGAAUUCAUAGAACACAGGAUUUUUUUUACCUCAGUUUUGGGUUAAUGAAAAAAUAAGCCUAAAGGACCUAAAGAACACUGAAAGUAUUGUCUGUACUUAACAGGCUUUGAGAAUGCUCUGAAUAUUUGAAAAUCAAACAGUUCUCUGAGUUGGACCCAGAAAAUGCCAAGUGUCCAAAAAUCACAGGGAACCACUCAAAAUGUGGACUUUGAAAUGCAGGCCAAGCCACAUUGCAAAAGAAAACCACUCUAAUAUUCAUAAAGUGGGGAAAAUGGAAAAUAAUCAGAAAUUCAUCUCAUUUUUGAGAAUAUGUAAAGUGAGAAGAAAAACAUUAAAAAAACAGAAAAGAAAGGAUCCCAUCCAUGCAGCAUUCAGAGUGGAGUUUGGUCAGGAGAAGAAAGGGGAUUACAUUCCACAAGCUGCAUUGCAUUAUGGACUGGAAAUAGCAAUAGAGAAAUAAAGCAAUAAAUGCAUAAAAGUAGGGGAAAAAAGAAACAGUUUUCAGAAUUACUGUAUUAAUUUGGAAUGAAUAUGCACUAGCGAAGUUGCUUUCUAGCUUGUCAGGUGGCCUAAUGAUGAGGAACAGUACUGACUCAAAUUCAUGUAUGAUUAUUUCUUUAUUGCAUUCUAGGUUUUAGUGGAAUUUAGGAUAAAGUUAAAUCUCUCUCACAUUUAUGAUAAGAUCAACAAAAUGAAUUCUUACUAGUGUUUCUUUCCACAGUUGCCUUGAAUUGGCUGGGUGAUCACAAAUGUAAAUUACUCUCUUGGAGUCCUGAGUAGAAAACUGAAUCUCUUGAAAGAAGAUGCAAUAGGAAAAAUUCUUCCUUCACAUGUAACAUUUCCAAGAAGCAUGUUUCUCUGUCAGUGUAAUAAAAGGAAGAAUUAGAUCAAUAAUAUUUUCCAUAAUUUUUUGACAUCAUCAUUUGAUUUUAGGCCUGGAUCUUCAUUAAUGCAGAAAAUGCUAAUUCAUUUUGUUGACCACAACAUCAUGCUUAAAUUAAAUAUUACUUAGCAACCAGUAUUCAGCUUAUUGCUGGCCUGAGAUCAUUCCGACUGUUAGGUCAAAUGAGGAAUUGGGAGAUCUGUGGUACAUAACAGUGGUAAAUAUUGUCCUGCAGAAAUUUACUUUGAUUUACAUGAAGAUGUGUUAUGAUCGCAGCCUGUUUUUUUUACAAUUGAAGCAUACUGGGAAUAGCGUAGACAAAACAUUUCUCCAUGCAACAGCAGAGACUCAACAGAUUCACAAACUAUUAGCUUGUCAGGUUCACACUUUCCAAUAAAAUGCCAUGGAAAUUUAAGCCAUAUUGUAUAAUAUGGUACAAACAUACCCAGUCUACACCCACUCAAGCACUUCUUAUUAGGCCAAAUCUCCCAACAGCACACAAAAAGAUUUUUCAGGAGUUGGGAAUGUUUCAUCAGACCAUACAUGUCUAUGAAUAACAAGCUCAGGUUAAGUUGUCAGGUGUAAUGGGAUUAUAAGCAUCAAAAGCACGGAACGAAGGCAAUAGUGGUACAAGCUCUAAUUUUGCUAUUGCUUGAUAGGAGAUGAAAUUCACCAAAAGACGUCUUAACCCCAAAGGAAGCAGGUGGCUUUCCUUGAGCCAGAGUGUCAUCCAUUGUUUUCAAGCGGCAGAGGUGACUGAUAGCAUCGUUGACAUGAAAAAUUAAGGUACUUUUUCCUUCAGAAAAGGCUUGUUUUUCAUAAAACAGAAUAACUGGAUGGAAGAAACCCUUUCUGAGGAGUGUUGGGGGUUUCUAAUGCUGCAUUCCUGUCGCUAUGUGGUGCUGUUCGAAGUUAUAAAGCCGAUCCUCUAGAACCUGCCUAUCUCAGGGUGUUAAGGAAAGGUUUGUCAGCAGGAGGUUGGGAUGGCUUCAGCAUGCACCAUCUACAGCAAAACCACCAAAUGCUGACGGUAAGCAGAUAUUUCUACUCUUGGGAAGGCUUUUUCAUGUUAUCUUUGUUAGUUGUGUUCAAGAUAAGGAGAGAGGUGAAGUUUGCUACUCUGUCCUUGGAGGUUUCCGCUCUCUCCAGAGCCUACAUGUUAGGUUUGGUAAGGGAAUUUGAUGUAAGAAGAUUUUAGGUGGAUGCAGCUAUUUUUCUGGAAGUUGAGUUUCUUUGCAGUGGCUACAACAGGCCAGGAAGAAAAAUUGAGAGUUGUAAAGUUUUAAAAUUAAACUUUAUGGUGCACCUUAUUUAAUAUGCUUUUUUUUUGAAAUCUCUUCAAGGGUCAAGGGUAGCUACUACAGCAAAGAGAAAGGAAAGGAAGAGGGAUAUCUGCAGUAUUGCAAACUCCUAUUUGAACUUGAUAAUGUGCUAAAGAACUUGUAUGAGAGUUUGGUUUUGUUUUUCCUUCAAAGGAGACUACUGAAUCUAUGGCAUAUCAAUCUGUAUUCUUUGUCUACUUGAUCACUCUUUGCUUGCUAAUGAGAAACUGAUGAUUUUUGACUUGCCUCUUUGGAUGAAGUGGGGCUGUAUUUGUAAGAGCAAGAAGAAUUUUUCAAGAACAUUUUAAAUCAUAUUGGAGUCAAAACCAUGUGUCCCUAGGCCAUAGCUUGAUACUCUGUCAGCCAAGAGCCAAUGCUGUAUUCAUCCUUAAAACUGAAAUAAGGAAUGGUCCAUAACUGUUGUGAUGUGGGCAUAGUGGCUCUAAGAAUCUGAAGGGAGUUGACCUUUUUCAUACUAAUGUUCCAUUGCUGCUAAUAAAAAAAAAGAAAAGAAAAAGUGCCCCCCCCCCCCCUUUUUUUCCCCAGAGAUAGGAAUAGAAAGAAAUAUUACUAAUCCUUUAGUAAGAUCUAUGUAUUCUAGUUGCGGUGAAAUGAGAAAGGUCAAAUUUUCUCUCCCAUCUCUCCCUCCCUUUUUUUUUUCAUAUUGUCCAAGUUCUCACCCAUCUUUGUUGUACUAAUGAAAUUAAGAUAUCCUUCAUGAUAUAACUGUGAGCUAGGGAGAUCUAAAUUACCUUCAUCUGGCAUCAUUCCAGGAUACUAUAAAUGAGGUAAUUGUCCUUGACUAUAAAAUUUGCAUUUUCAAGACUUAAUUGCUAUCAUUACAUCUUUUUGUAAUUCUAUUAAUUUAACUGAAUGGAGCAUUUGGUUUUAUGGUAAAAAUUUGCAUUAAAACAUUGUACAUUUAAAUAGAAUUUUAAUAUUUGCGUCAAAAGCUCAGUACAGUUGUCCCACAGGACCUAAAUAAUUUCACAAGAAGAGAAUUGUAAGCAGUCACACUUUGGGUCAACAAACAGGUUUUCCUUUGGUGAAUAUUAAUAUAACUUGCUGUUAGAGACACUAUGUACUGAAAAUCACUCCUGUCCAAGUUCUGUAAAAGCGUCUGUGAGCUCUGAGCCAUAAUUGCUAACAGGAAAUGUAUUUUAACAGCUACACUGUUUGUUCACAGAAAUGUGCCAAACAGCUCUGUAUUCUUAAGGAAUGGUCUUCCUCUUUUGAGUCCUCCUACCCUAGUUAGGCUGUAUGCUUUGUUAUGGCCUGAGAAAUCACUAAGUAUGCAAGCAAUGCCUUCUGUAUGAUCGUCUGUCUGCUCAUAGUUGUCUAGCCAUCUUCCACUGUGCUGUUAAAUGUGGUAAUUGGUUAGUAUGCUGGCAUCUUUUUGGGAAAUAUUUACAACCACCACAGGUUGGUGGCCCUGCCUGCAGCAGAGGGAUUGGAACUUGAUGAUCCUUGGGUGUCCCUUCCAACCCAAGCCAUUUUAUGAUUCCAUGAUUCUGUGAUUUGAAGGAACAGAACUUCAUGUCUGGUCUUUGAAGGUAUUUAAGCCACUAGAUCUCAUGGGAAGCAGAUCGUGUGUGGGUCUGGAGGCCCUGUCUUGGAUGGGCACUGCAGGUAAAAAUGAGUACAUGGAUGUGCUGACAGAAUUCCGUGCUGACAGGAUUCCAUUCUGAUCAGAAAAGCCUAUGCUAUUCUCUAUGCUGUCCUGACAGAUGUUAUAGAGUUGUAUAACAUAUUACUUGUGGAAGUAAUCAAGCUAGAUUUGUUUUAUAUUUAAUGCAUCUGUAUUUUUUUCUCUUGAGUUUUUUUCCUGCAACGUGUGAGUAAUAUUUUACAAGAGAGAGUCUGCUUGUGACAGAAAUCUCAUUAAGUACUCUUAAUAUAUGUUGUAUUUGCUGGACUUCAUAAUCAUUGUGUAAUUAAGCUUCACAACUCACUUGUGAAGCAGAAAAGAUGAAGGAUGUUUUUGUUAAAAAAAUUUAUGGGAUGUUGAAAUUAAAGACAGAUUUCUGAAAGUGUACAGGUACCACUUCUCACUGAUUUCAGUGCCUAAAUACCUAUGAGAGCAUGAAGAUCUUGCAAAACUGUCUAGUGAGCCAUUAGAACCAGACUAAAUUCUGAACUGGGAGAACGGGAUGAAGUCUUAAUGUGAGAUAAUGACUUUGGAGCAAGGGACACAGUUGUUUUGCCUUUUGCUCUUAAGUCUUGAAUGAGAAUCACAUUUCUUCACUUUGGGGACUGUUUGAUAGUUCAGUGUGUUCUGAGAAUACAUUUUAAAUAUGACUAAUUUAAGAGCAGGUACCCCUCCCUUUUUCUUCUAAGUCCAUUUACAUAUACAGUAUUUCUAUAGAGGUUUUUGUCUCCACUGGAUUCUGAGUUUCACGGACUGGGGAAAAAGGGCUGCUGAGAGCUACAGCUCAGUGUUGAGCCUCCAAAUCCUACAAGCGUUAGAUCUACAAUGCAGUUAGAUUCAGAGCUGUCUUUUUGGGCAUGUGCACAGGGUAAGAAGUCUCCCAGGGUAUCUGUUCUACUCAGAGGCUGUCUUUUCCACUUCAGGGAGGACCCUGUGUAUGUUCUUUCUUAACGGGUGAAUUUCAUUUGAUCUGAACAUUAUGCUAAGGCUGAAUUUCUAGGCAGUUUAUAUUAUAUUGCAUUAGGAAAAACAAACAAACAAAAACGCUUAUUCCUUUGAAAAACCCAGGUCUAGCUGUUAGCGUCAAUUACUUUAAGCACCUACUGAAUUUUCUGGCAUAUAUAUCUCAUCGAAUCUUGGGCGUGAUUUUAUGUGCUUUAAGCAUUUGAUCACAUAAUCAGUUUCUGCAAUGCAACACACAGAAUCCUGAGCAUUGUCCUGGCGGAUAGUCACGUCAAACCUGACACAAACAAACAUAAGGGAACAAUUGUUGUUAAAACACAUUGCAUCACAUUGCAUGUUAAAGCAUUUGCUCUGGUAAUCCACCAUGCUGACGUUUCCCUAUGCUGAUGCCAUCUGAGCAGGGACUGUAUCCUUAAAGUUGACAUGUGCAUCACAUUACAGCAGUGAUUUUGUUAUGUAUCAUUGGCAUAAUGGAUAUUCAGAAGAGAUUCAUAAUCUUGAAAGGUGGCUUGAAUCCACAGAUCUCAUCCAUAUUCUGGUGACUCAGAGCAUUGUGGAAACUCAUUUUAUAACGUCUCACGCUAUCUUGGGCAAAAGCAAAGUAAACAGUUGCCUAGAGCAGCAGACUUGAGAGAAAUGCUGUCUGGGUCUUGUUUCCUACUCCCUCUUUGCUGACGAAGAUAGGAGCAAAAUCUCUUUAACCUGCUUCUCCUGUGCCCCUCCUGCUCCCAUUUCUCCAGUUUAAUUCUGGUGGAAAUCCAGAGGCCUUUUUCUUCCCUCUCCCAGUCUCUUCUUCUCAUUCACUGUUACUCUUAAGUUGCUGAUUUCUCCAGACUCUUCUUCUCCUUGGAGUCUCCACUGCUUCCUACUUAGGGUGUUUCAGCAGUGAGAGGAUUCGCUGUCCUUUCUGCAUCUUUUUCUACUCCUGCAAAUAUUUGUAUUCCUUUUGGUAGCCUGAGCUAUGUGAGAAACGCACAUUCCUGCACAAAAGUAUUCUGGCUCACUUGCCUAUUGGUAGCUGUUCCUUUAAAAGAGCUUUUUCACACUGGAAAAAAACAGACAGACAUGGAAAUCUUUGCUGUAGUGCUCAUGUUUCAUGAGAUUAAACAAGACAAAAGUAAGAUGAUGUCAGCGUAUUACUGAAUCCCUGGGAAGGUGUGGCCUGUGCUGAUGGCAAUGCUAUUCACACAACAUAGAAGGCAAUUGCAGAGUUCAUUGCCAUGGGAUGUUAUAGAAGCCAAAAGGCAAGGGUGGCAAAUCAUUCCAUAAAUGGCUAUUAAAUGUAAUUAUCUAGAUGCAGUGUCAAGCUCAGGAAACACCUUUAACAGUGGCUGCCAGAAAGCUAUUUGGCUAUAUCAGUGCAAGGAUCAUCUUCUCCAUGCUCUGCCCUUGCACUAUCUACAGCACUGACUGUCACUCCCUCUGUUCCUGAGAUGUGAUACUCUGCCAAAUUCACUUUUGGCCAUGUCUGUAUCAUAGGCUUUUGUUCUCAUGAGUUGCAUGACUAAAGAGACUAAUAAUGAGAUCGAAUCCAUUGUCUCUUCAUCCAGAGACUUUUAAGUUUUAACAUACGACCAAGAGUUCCUGCUUUAACAGUGCUAAGGUUUGAUCUUUCAGUCUGUAAGUCAGAUGUGCCUAAUGGUUGAGGUGUACUACCGCAGAGUUAGUAAUCUGAAAGUUAACUUAUUUGAAAGAGAAGAGAAACCUACUCCACAUGGCAGUUCCUCCUGUGUGUUGAAAGCUUUCCUUAGCAUGAGAAAAAUUAUCAAGAUUGAGCCUUCUACUUCUCUUAUGACUUUUGUACUUUUGUCCAGUGAGCUUGGUAGCUUUGUCUGCAAAAUGAACAGAGUUCAGAGAGAAAAUGCUAUUUGUUCUUCCAAGCAAGAAAGCAAGUCCUUAGGUGGUAUGCAUGGGUGUUGUUCAUGCAUGUCCUACGUGUCCUUCCUAAUGGAUUUCUUUUUUCUUUGUCUCAAAGCUUUGGAUUGCCUUAACUUGCUGUAUUUGUCCAAUUCCACUUCCUUCUGGCAUACAUGUUAUAUACUCAUUCUUACAACCUGCACCAAAAGAAGCUGCAGAGAUGUGCCACCCUUUUACAGUAACAAAACAGCAACUUUCUUCCUGCAACUUCCUUAAAUCAGCAGAUUGGCAGUUUGAAUUUUCACUUACCAGAGUGAUGACAGAAGUCUGUGGAAGGCUUCUUCCAUGUUGGUAUAUGUACAGCAACUAUAUACAAAAGAGAGCUGCAGAUCUUUCUCUCAUUUGACUCAUUAUUUUUGCCUAAGGAAGUGGAGAACACAUAUGGAGGCAUUUAUAUAUUUAUUUACCUCACUGCCUCAGAUCCCUACUGGCAAUUGAUUGUUAUCAAUACAAUCUCGUGUAGGAAAGCAAGGAACUGUAAUAUGCCAAGUGUGAGGUCAGACAGGAUGAUUUUGCUUUCUACUCUCAAAAUCUUAAUUAGUACAAUACCUCCACUAGCUGUUGGAAUCUCAUUUGGAACAACUAAAAGUAGUGAGGCUGGUGGUGCUUUAGCUGAGAAGGCUUGCAGUGUGGCAAACAUAGCGUUGAUAGCUGAUGAUGUUCUUGCUCUCCAUUUUUAAUGUUGGUCAAAUUGCACUAAAGGAAGCUCUGUGAGCAUAACCGAGGGUAAAAUGUUGGCCUAGUGUUACUGGAGUUUAAUGGCAGAUUGCUAGCACCUUCUGGGUAUGACAAGGAUUUAGGACUACAGAUAUCAAUUGUAGCAGGGCCUUUGCCUGGGGCUCAAGGAGGUAGCCUGGGGAGGUUCAACAGGGGUUCAAGCAGGUAGAGCUGCCGGGAACUUCAGAACAUUACAAUUUUGACAUUCAGUACCUAACUACUCUUUAUUGCUGGGAAACACAUUAUUUCUUCUGUUCAGCUAGAGACUUCAGAAGGGUAGUAUCUCAGAGUGUUCUUUCUUAUCCUGUCCUCUGUUUAAGCAAGUCAAAAUUGGACUCUGUAUCUGUUCUUCUGUUAAAAAAAGUGUAUGUAGAUAUGUAUCUCUGAAAUAAACCUCCAAACAUUUGGAGGCUUGUCCUUCAUUAGCUGUAUAUGGCUUCUCUUCUACUUUCUAAUCUCUUAAACCUUUUACUUAGAAGGAAGAGACAGGGAUUUGUCUGAUAAUAAUUCUAUAGACAGUAAGUUGGACUCUGAUAAACUGAGCAAAGGGCCUCUAGAUGUAAGAGUGUAAUUAAAUGUGUAAAAGAAUUUUCCAUGCUUAUGCUAACCUCUGGAAGCAGGGUGCAAAAAUACAGUCUGCUGAGCAGUGCAAGAUAAGGACAUGAUCACGUACCUCAAACCCAGUGGUCCAUGUGCCUUCUCUCAGAGUCAUGUGUUAGCUCUCAUGUAAAUGAGGUUUAUAUCAGCAACACUACAUAGUGCUCAGUUUGUGGGUUUUGGUGACAGCUGUGUAUCCUGUUUGGUCUCAUCCAUUUCAGUCACACUAAUAGCUUCAAAGGUAUUAAGGUCCUUCUCAGCCCCAAGUGAACUUAAAGUUUUUGAUUUUGUUUGUGUUGAACACAAACAGUAUUGGCGUCUAUGCAGACACUAUGAGUAAAGCUGGAUUGCUCGGGGUGCUAUGCAAGGAUUGACACGUAUGUUUAGCAGGGAGGCAUGCUAAAUGAGAAAACAGAAUUUUUCAGAUCUUUCCAGGUGUGAUCUUUUUUUACCUCUUGAUGAUGAUCUGUAGAGUUGGGUCCUCAAGAGUGAUCUUAAGAUUCACAGAAAUUGUUAGGCUCAAAGAACAUGAAUACAUUUUUUUCUUUCUUUUUCUUUUGCCACUUAAUGUGGAAAUAUUUUUAACAACAAUAACAAAAAACAAUGCCUGUAGAUAUAAUUUUCUUCACAAUCUCUCCUUGUAUCAUUCUGGCUUAACAGACAAGAGAGAAGAUGCAUAUGCUUUUUAAAGCAAACUCGUUAAUUAUUUUAAAUGCAUUUGACUUCUGAAAAGUUCUGAAAGUUCAUUUGAUAUUGUGGUGAAACACCAAGCUAUUACUUGUCUGCUCAUUUGCAACUUAGCCUCACUGCCUCAGUUCUUCCCACCAUGUUUUUCUUCUCUUCCAUCUCUCACAGCGCUCUGUUUAUUAUUCUUCCAGCUUAGUUGUCUUCUUUCCUUAGCCAUCAGUAUGUCAGUUAUACUUAAAUGUCAAAAAGAAAGUAAACAUAAACAUCAGUUAUCAAAAAUUACAUGCUCUGUUUACAUAUUCCUCAACAAAAAGGAUUUUUCCCUCAGUGCAUACAAAACGUGAACCUUAACUAGACACGUGAGUCCAUACUUUCAUUUUCACAUCUGAAAUCUAACGGCUAUGUUGAGUAAUCCACUGUUUACCUGCUAGGCAUGGAGUUCUAACAAUUUAUGAGCAAUACUUAUGAAUCUUUUAAUACUGGAGGUUAUUCAAAUAUAUUUCAAGUACCUUUUUUUUUUUUUUGCAGGAAGAUUUUUUUAGUCUCUCUUCUCCAUACGAAGACUAUAGUAGCAUGUCAGUUACCUGAUCUUUCUGCUUAGUUUUUUCUUUUUUUUUCUCUCCCCAUUCUCUUCCACAUUUUCUUGAUUGCUGAACAAAAUGGUAGGCAUCCCUCCAAAUUAAGAUAUUUUCUCCAUUGGAGAACCAUUGAAGUUCACCUUUAAUUUUGAUACCAUUAAACUUAAUCUUUUCUUUAUUCUUGGAAAAAAUAAUCAAACUUUCACUGAUGUUUGGGAUUUUUUUCACUCUAAUAUCCGAAGGAAGCUGUUAUUUGCAAUCUAGCCUUUUUUCAGCUUAUAAUCAUAUUUUUCUUUUUGGUACAAUUGUAAUGGAUUAUAGACAGCCAUUCUUUUCAUUGGAGGAAAAAAAAAAAACAACGGGUAAAUUGGUUGUUCUCAAGAUUCAUGUUUCUUUGAAUUCAAUAUAAAGCUUUCUCUUUUCAUCUGUUACCUCACAGAGCAUGUGCUGCAAAUGCCCUGAAUAUCUAAUACUUCCUCCUUUUCUUUCUGUUAUGGAACAUUCUUAACUUACUCUUUGUAUUGAAAUAAGUCACCCUCCUUCAGUCAGUGAAUUGACAUACACUGAAUCAAGCAUGACCCCAGCUACAUAUGCCCAUUGAUCUUCCAGUUCCACUUCAGCCUCUGUGCAGAGCUAAGCGCCUGCUGUUGCAGCUGAAGUAGAUGCCUGAGCUCACAAGACUUUAGAAACUUCUUGGUGACUGUUUCAGUGUACCAACAUGGCUCCAUGGAUCAGAUGGUGGGUUGUGUACUGUGUACUGGUUUAGGCUAAUGUUCUCCAUAUAGAUGAUAGGGAGAACAGCUGCUGCCUCGAAAGUCAAAGCAUUUUGCUGUUAGGAUAUCUUCAUGAAGCCAUAUCAGUAUAUUUUUCAUUGUAUGUCCCUGAGAAUAUUUGGGCUCAAGCAGGGUUAGAAGUUGAGUUGCUGAAAUACUGUGGUGAAAGUUGUCAUCAAGCCCUUCCUAGUGUUCAAGCUGUUUUGGUACCUGCUGUCACAAGAUUUUCAAGCUUGUAAACUCAACUCAGACUUAGCCUGAGCUACUCUUUCAGAGAUUUGCAUCUCUCAUAGGCAAUUCUGCUAAAACUGACAGCAGUCUUGCUAAUUUUUGCCAAUCAUGGCAGACUGUUUCAGUGGGUUUUUUUAUACUUAAUAUAAAGAUGGUUGACUGGAUUCCUGUAUGUUCAUUUUUGAAGACACUGAACUUUUUCCCACAAGUAAAAUUACAUAUCUACUUAACUUUCUGUCUAAAAUCUUUCCAGUUAUCUGCAAAUGUGAUUACAUUGCAGCUGUGUGCAUAUACCAAAUUUUGUUCUGCCAGGCCAUAGAAAGCCAUUGUGGUAUCCCACCAUGCUUCAGCCUGCCACUUAAAUACCUAUAGCACAUUCCAGUCUCCUCAGUAGACUUAGUGUGAAGCUGGGCUGCAUUUAUUUUGCAUUUCUUUGCUGGUGUAAGAGGACUGCAGAAUUGAUGAGGAAUGUAUGAAGGUGAGAACAGAACAUGCUGAGCAAUGGUAAUCUCUGGCUGGCCAGUGACCCCUCUGGGUACCGUUAUCAUCCAGUGUAAUUCGGAGCAGCAGUAAUAAUUCAUGUCUGGCUUGGGUAUAGAGGCAGAAGAAAGGGAACACAUGACUUUCUUCUAUGACUUACUGCUCUGUAAAAGGAUUUUAAAGAAUCUUUGGGGAGAAAUUUAGGUCUCAGAUGCACACAUGUGGAUCUCAUUGAUUUCAUAGGAGACCAUGCGAGUGUGUACAUUAACAGACAGAAUAUAGCUUUUGAUCUUUAAGAGCAAUUAAUAUAAAAUAUGGAAUUACACUACUGUGUAAUAGGAUAUUUUUUACUACUUUGUUAAAAGUACUCCCCAAACCCAAAUACAAAACAACGUAACAUCCCAGGCCAAAGUCUUGUAAAGGCAUGUCUCCACCAACACUUGUCACUUUCUGAUGCUGCUUGUGUGUUUGAAUGUUAGGCUUUGAACUUCAGUAAAACAUUUGUAUUUAAUAAAAAACAAGACUUCCUGUCCUCACAUCUGUCCAAGCCGUUGAGUGGCCUUACAGUGGAAAGUGAGAGUUAACUGUUGUGACUCUGCAGGAAUUCUCUUCUGACCCUUUCGUGUCCUUGUGUGAUGUGUUAACAUGCACCCCAAUCACACAAACAUGCAACCAUGGAACACUUAAGAACACAUUUAUGGUUCUGAGACUGCUGGUUACCAAGUACCUAUCACAGCUAAUACCUGAUGGAGGCGAUGAAUUUAAAAAAACACUGUUGGCACAGACCUUGCAAGGAUGUACAUGGCUGGUAAGCUUAGAGGUAAAUAAGUAGAGUCUACACCUUGAAACUAACGUGGUCGCAUCUACCUGUGAAUGGGUAGUAAUAAAAAGCAGUGACCCUCAACUGGAAGCGCUCUUGCUUUCAUUCUGAAUACCUGAAAUGUUCAUUGUAUUGGACUGACAGAUGAAUUCACUGUGAAAUUUGAAGCAGCUUCUGCCUGGAAAGCUUCACACAGAUUUAACCUAAGAAAGGAGGUCCAAAGUGAGCAACAGGCAUUCAAUAAAGCCUGCAACAGACUCUCAGUUGGAGCAGCAAACUCUUCCAACACUUUCUUCAUGAAGUGAAAUAGCACAAUGUGCCUCUCACAGAAGUAGCUUCUAUAAGGUCUUUUCUUGUCUCUUUGUUAACCUGUUGAUUUGUAAAUAAAAGAGAGCCAAUAGGAGUUAUUUUGUCCAAUCUUGGGAAAGUAGGAUUGUUGUCUUGGAACAAGAAUUUACGUGUUUCCAUUUGAAAUAGACUGUGUUCUUCUUCCUUAUACCCUCGCUAUAAAUACAGAAUGCAAUUCUCCUGAAAGGUAUCUAUUGAUCUCUCUGUUUUCUUGGAAAGCCCAUACUUUUGUUCCCGCUUUCCAAUUUAAGUAUCUCAAUCCUUGUCUGAAGUGUUCAAUAGACAUUCACCUUCAGGCACCAGCUGAACCUAGAAAAAUUCAAUCUGAUGUACUAGAUGAAAUUUUGGGAAACUAUGAAUAAAGAAAAACAGAAUAAAAGGGAAAUAUGCAUGCACACUUGCCUAUAGGUGAUACAUCUUAAUCCAUUUCAGUAUCACUCUGUAUCUUACUGUAUUUUUUUUGUGCUAAAGCUCUAAGCCCAAUUGGCUGAUUUUUUUUUUUUAUGUUGAAUUUCAUAGGUCACCACUGAAGUAGUCACAUUCUGUAAAGAACCAUCUAGCUCAAUGAGUUUUGAUUUUGUUUGUAGUUUUAUUUAGGUGAUUGUAUCAAAUGUCACUUAUUCCAUCUAGGUCUACAUCUAUAAAAAAUUAAUAUUAUUUUUUAUUAAAAAAUUUGCUAUGCAAAAUGGCUUUUUAAACUCCUUCCCUUCAAAGAAAAAUGCUGCCUGUAAAAAUUUGCUGAAAAAAAUGAAGCUCCAGAGAGAUUUAAUAUUAGAAAAAUAUAUAUCCUCUUAUCUAAUGUUCUGUUGGACUACUAGAAAAUGUUCAUUUUGUAGCAAAUUGCUGCAAAUUUAGAAGUGGAGAACAGAAUAUUAUGACUGACUGGUAGAAACGUGUUGGCAUAGCUUGAGACCAUGUAUUACCUUACAACACCCAUCCACUGUCCUCUUUGUAAUUGGAAGACAGGGCGACAGGUUGCCCAGAGACGUGUUGGAUGCUCCGUUCCUGGAGACGUUCAAGGCCCCGCUGGACCAGACUCUGAGCGACCUGAUCUAGCUGUAGGGGUCCCUGUUCAUAGCAGGGGAGUUGGAAGGGACCUUUAAAGGUCAUCUAGUCCAACUCUAUGGAGCCUAUGAUUAUAUGGCAAGGUAUACCUGCGGUGCUUUGGAGAGAGAACAACCAAAACUAGGAUUAUGCACAAUGUUGUAUUCUAAUGAUCAUUCUUGGAGUAAAAUUCCUGGUAUCUGAGUUCUAUGCUUGCCAAUUACCCUAACUUCUGAUUCAGACAAAUGGAAAUUAAUAAGAUACAACCUUGCAAAGUUUAUUUACUCACAGCAUAUUAAUCUCUUCAUAGUCUAAAUUAUACAGUCUGCAGCAUGAUUUGGCACAUAAACGCGGCAGAAUUAGUUAUUUCACCGAUUCAGUGUACAAUAUUUUUUAGAACACAUAAGAAAACAGUGUUCAAGUAGACUUUGGGGUGUAAAUCUGAACUUGUUAGCUGGAGUUCAGAUGUUCCACCUUGGAAUUAUAUCUCAUUUAACAGAUUAAUUAGAGAGAGAGAUAGUCAGAUGAAACAUUUAAAAAAAAAUAAUAAUUAUCUGUGUUCUAUUGUAUAUAGAAGUGGAGAUAGAAUCUACCCUUAUUCUUUCCCAUCUCCAGGAAGAUUCUAGGUAGUAUUUUGGGUUGGUUCUUUCUUUUAUUCAUAUUAAGAGAAUAAAGUAGAGAAAGCCUCAGGGCAGUGUAAGCCCUGUGGCAGAUUCUCAAAAGUAGUUGCAGAUAGAUAUUUUUUGAAUUUUGUUCCUGGCAUUACAAGUGGGAGAAGAUGCUGAAGGUAGCUUUUCUAAACAUCAAAGGUGCAGAUGAAGUUUACUAUUUUAUUGGAUAUUUAAGUUGAUAGCAGAGUUGUUGUUUUUUUUUUCUUUUUUCCCUGAAAGAUUAGGUCAGCAUAAUUAAAUAUAAGUGUAUAUUAGACAUUUAAAUCUACACCUUCUGGCUGCCUUUAUGCUCAGCAUUCAGUUGGUGCCAAAAGCUUGUUUCAUCUUGGGUUUAUGCAUCUAAAGUUUAUCUAAGUUUGUUUUCUCUGAAGAAGAGCACGUAUGCAUUGGAGUCCAGAAUGCCCUCCACUCUUCUGGGAGCUGUAUUUGCUCCUUGCUGUUUGACAGAGGUAGGAUGAGCCAUUUGUAUCAUCCCCAUAUAUUGAGUGAAUCAGGGAUGUUUGGAUCUGUGGUAAAAAAUAAUGUCAUCCAAUCCCGGUUUUCAUUUUGAUGCUCAAAGAUGACAUCAAAGCUCAAUACUAGGGAGGAAUAUCCUCUUAAUAAGGAAGGGAUGGGGGGGGAGGAGGGGGUGAAGUCAGCCCUUCACUUCUCAGUGAUUGGGAUUCACUGUGUUGUUGCUGGGUGGAAUAGAGUAAUGCUGUUGCUGCUCCUGCUUCUUCACAGUGAUGUUUCUGUUCCAGUUUUUGCUGACUCAUAUUCAGGAAAACAUGAUGCGCAGACACAAUGCACUGUAACUCUUUUUCUUUCCCCCACUAACCUCGGUAAGUAUUCUUUUUUUCCUGUCUAUGACUAGCAUAGUACUAUUAUUGCUCUGCUGAUAGAGUUGGUAGGAGGGGAAAAGGCAACCUUGUAAACAAACUGCUAGCAGACAGAUUAAUCUCAGAGAGGGCAUUUAAAUGAAACCUGCUGUUUGUGGUACAUCCACCUCUUUAGGGCAGAUCAAUCCUGAUAACUCACCCAUCUCUAUGAACUACACUUGCUAGAGCUGUGUUCUUAAAUGGGAGAAGUGCUUACAAUAGCCAUUUACAACUGUAUUCUGUUUAAUUAGUCAGCAAAGCCAGUGCUGCAGGGAUAGAUCACUUUGCUUUAAAGAUUUGAGAAUGUUAAUAGUACAGUAUAUCAUUUUAAUUAUUAUUGGAUGAAUGUUGUGUCUCGAAGAACAUCCAAUGCAAAUCACAAAAAAUGGCCUGAAGUGACCCAAGGGUUGUGCUUUAUUAGAAAAUUAAUAGGUCCAUUGGUUAAAUACAAGGAGAGGUUCUUACUUCAAAUGUCACUCUGCGUAGGUCUGCUGUAUGUGUGCCUGUGUGUAUGUGGAAAUGAAAUCCUCUUGCUUCCACUUUGUCCACAGAAAGUUUCUGUAUUUCGUGCAAUAAAUGGCUGAGGAAACAUGUGCAGUAAUAAGAGAUGAAGAGGAGACCCAGAAAAACUCUGAUGAAGACCCAUUUCAUGAUGCUGAAACAGCAUUGCCUGAUUGCUAUGCUGGCCUUAGUGAAGGCAACAGAAGCUCAGAGGUGCCAGAAAGACUGUCUGUCCUCUCUAGCAAGGCUGUGGCCCAAGCAAAAGCACUUGCUGGACCAUCAGCGGUCAUCAGUGGCAGCCAGGCACAGAGCAAGGCAUCUGCCUUGGCCAAGCACCACCUGAUGGCUGUCAGUGCAUCAGCAGGAGACUUGUCCUGCUCUACAACAAUCUGUAAACCCAAGCCCAGGGGCCUUGCCUCACCGUGCUCUGAAAGUGUCUACUGUAGCUGUGACCAGGAUUCAGAAGCAUCAUGUGUCCCUGGGAUGCCUGACGGGGCUGGUAAGCCCCCCAGGGCAGUCGUGGCCCUGUUGGUGAACAACCUCAGGUGCUGCCAUGUGCCAGCUGAUAGCGCACGGCCUGUGGAGAGCUGCACUGAGGGCAACCCUUGCAGUCUGGGCUCAGCCAUCUGGAUGAAGACCACAACAGUAAUGGAGACCCUAGAAAAUAAGAAAAAGGAGGAAAAGGAGAAGUAUCGGCUCCAGCUAGCAAUGUACCGAAGACUCCUGCUGUUGCGUUCGAUCAGGAGCUUGCACAAGCAGCUGGAGCAGCAGCAGGCCAGGUUACAGGAAUGCUAUGGCAUAGUCAUAAAUACCAAGAAAGAAGUGUUAAAGCACAUUCGUUCAACCUUGCCCUCUCCUUCUCCAUAAUCAUGUUGCUGCAUGCAGAAAUGAGCUUUGUAAUGCCACUGGAGCCGUCAGCAAGCUUGCAUGCCAUGAGAUGGUUUCUUCCAAGCCAAGAGAAUGUGCCCACGUGUGCCGAGAGCAAAGAGGAAAUGGAAACAGCAGAGCGAGAAGAAAGAGGAAGGCAAAGCGUUGGCCCCUGAAUUUGUCUGCAGGGAGCUGGAAUAAGAUUAUAUCUGUGCAAUACCGUAAUGCUUGAUGUGCACUCAAGGCUUCAAGCUUGUGUAUGACAUGAAAUUGAAAAAAAAAAAAAAAAAAAAGAUGGAAAAAACCUGAGAACAUAGUCUGAUGUGAUCAUCAUGUGACUUAGUGCUAAUAGAAUGAACAGAAUUAGGGUUCAGUUCUCUUCAAGAACCUAGCAAGUCAGGAUAUUAGGAGCACUUAAACUCAGGCUUGAUGAUGUCCACCCAGCUGCCUGCUUUUCAGAAAACCGCUUAGGCUAUUGCCUGUUUGUGACCUCUACCCUCCCACAAAAAAUUGUAUUCAUAUUGACCAGAAGUCUUUCUGGAAGGUCAAACAGUCAAACACACGUACAGAGGAACCUUGCAAUUGCCUGAGCCCUAUUAGGAAGGCAAGCUAAAAGCAAAGGCCUCAUAAUCUGGCAUUGUGUUGGAAGCCCAGACUGUCAGUGCCAGGGGAAUGUUCGAGGUCUGCACAAUUAUUAAUCUGCUGCUAACUCCCAGUGGCACUAGCGUCUGCAAAUCAAGCACAUUUUGUGCCUUACUGCUGUCAUUUAAUGGAAGUUGGUGACAAUUAGCACUUUUUAUCCAGGUGUAUUAUAUGCCUGGAAAACCCUAGAGCAAUUUCUUCAAUUGCUAGGUUAGGAUGCCUGCAGGAAAUCUGAUGUCAGUAAGCAACAAACAAACAUACAGAAAAAUAAAGAAAAAAGAUGCAACUUCUUUUUAUGCAUUAAAAAGCCAGUCUAGGUCCCUAUUAUCGAACAGCAAAUUGAAUUGUUGAAUGUGCUGUCUUAGAGUCUGAAGCAAAAAUUAUUUGAGAAGAUAUUGAAAGGCUCCCCUUUCUGGGACUUAGAGUGGCAUAGAAAAAUCUUUUUUUUUUUUUUUUUUCUUCAGGUACCCAUUUCUGAUGAUGCCACUUUUUCUUUUGCCCUGUUGUUCUUUGUUACAAAUGUGUAAGUAGAUGAGCAAUCAGACAAGUUUUUGGCAUGGAUUUAUUUGGUUUUGGGUUUUUUUUCUUUUUCUUUUUUUUUUUGCAUGAAAAUGCACAUCUGUUACUAGAAGUCCUAUCUUUCUCAGAGUAGUGUUCUGUAUGUGGGAAUUUUUUUGCCUUGGCUUUUUUGUGUGCUCAUAGAGGGAAGAUGUCUGUGUUUGUGUGCACACACAUGCACUUAUGUACAAAUGAUCCUAAAAGGCUGGCACUUCUUUUUCUGUAGUAAAAACAGGAAUAAUCUCUCAAAAUAAUCUUUGCUGUCUUAGAGGAGUUGCUUGAUUAGAUUCACAUGCGCACAUCUGUGAGCAAGGUAUUGAAGUAAUUUAACAAUUGAAGUGCAGCACAACAUUGUUAUUAUUCCAUCUUUGUAUUUCCUUGCACCCAAAAUAAUGGAAGCCCCCUGGGUAUGCACAACCUUAGAUAGGCUUAUUCAUCUCCUUGGGCCCUUGCACAGCCUCUUACACAGCACGAGCCUGUAAUUUUGUAUGCAGAAUUACCAUAGAAACAUUCUUGGCAUCAAGGAGAUAUUUGAAGGAGCAUCCUGUACUGUCUCAUAUGGGGGAUUUGGGUUGCCGGCAGCUGUCAGUGGGCUGCCGAAGAUAGAGUUGGGGAUCUAUGUGACUGGAGGACACUACUCCUAUGCCCGGAUCUCACCCAGCUUUGUUCAGCCUUGGGAAAGCUGUUCAUAGCCAGUAAUGCGCAUUUACCAAAGAACACUAAACUCACCUCAAAAGUAAUCUGUUCUAUCUUAAUAUGCCUCCUAGAAAGGAAGAACAAUCAUGGCUAAGAGGACUAUGCAAAGAUUUGAUUUUUUUUAAUUACUAUAUAUAUAUAUAUUAUAUAUAAUUAUAUUGUUAUUAACAAAACCUAAAAAAAAAACCCACAUUUUUUUUUUCUCCUAUUCAUUAAGAGUUAAAGUUCUGUUAACACAGACACAAGCAGACCAUUAUUAGAUUGUCUCUUUGGGAAGGAAAUAUUGGAAAAGGGGUGCAUCUCUCAAAAAUAAAUAAAUGCAAAAUUACUCAAUUCUGAAAUUAAAUGUCAAACUGUUUCCAUUAAGAUGAAAAUUAAAAAAAAAAAAAAAAUUGUUAAUUCUUCUUUGUACAUCAUUUUAGCCUAAUUUUAUUUUUUGUCUUCUGAAUAAGAUUCAGCUUUGUGAAUACUAUCAUGUUGAAUUUUCUGCUGACAUAAAAUACAUGUGCACAAAGGUAAGGUGGUGUAACUAUUUUGCCUCAGUAACUGCUGAAGUAAUGUCCUAUGCAUUACUAUAUAGAGCUACCUAUAGUGUCAAUUCUUUUUAAAGGUGACUAGAAAAUCACUGAAAAAUAUUUCUUACACUGUACACAGUGUGGCAAUAGUUGAUUUGUCAACCUGUAUAACUGAAAGUACUUUGUGGCAGAACUGUGACUUUUUUUUGUAUGACAUCUCUCGCAACGUUUCUUGUUUCUUAUUGGAAUCAGUAGAUGCUUCUGCACUAUGAAUAUUAAAUGUCAAGAGGUCUGUGCUUGAGCAAUGCUGCCUGGCAAGAAAAUAAAGCCAAUACUUGUUCUGUGUAUGCACAGUCUUUCCAUGUAGUGAUUUUAUGGAUACAUGCAAAAUAAAUGUUAACUGAAGAAAUAACAAGAACACUUGUCUUUAGAAGAGUUUGCUGGUUACCUGGUUGUUCUAGUGUGGCUUCUAAUAAUUGUGGUUGGCCGAACCAAUUAAAAGCUACAAGAUUUUUAAAAUAAGGAUAUUUUACAAGCUUGGAAAAUGUGGUUUAACAGCAAUGCUUUUCUCCUGUGUAUGUCAGCAGCUGAGGACAAGCAGGAAAAUGCUGAGUAACCCAUGGAGGUAUUUUGUUGUGCACCAGACAAAGCAACAAUCUCAGUUUUAAUAAAAAUGCAUCUUCUCAACUAUUUUCAUCUCUUUGUAUGGUUAAGAGUCUUGGUGGUUUGGAUGAGGUUAAACAAAAUUUCUUAAACUUUGUAUUUCUUUCUGAACCCAAACUACAUGAGUUUAGUUCUAAUCAGAGAAAUAAGCUGGAACCACUGACACUUCAUAUAUGUAUGAAAAAACUGUCAGGUCUUGGGUAAUGGUGACAAAUUAAUCAAUUCCAGUAGGGUCUUUCUCCCCAUUAUAUUACUGCCUGCCUGAUCAUGUCAAGCUAACAAUCUAGGAAAAUCUCUUUGAGCCAAUAUCUUGUUAACUACUUCCACAGCGAAGGCUGAAGUGAAAUUGCACUGUCCGAGCCUUGAGGUCCCACUGCUCACCUAAUUGCCUAGCUAGCCUGAUAUGGCAGGAAAUAAGUGGAUUUACCAUGGAAGAAAAAGAUGUUCAAAAGAUACUGGCACCCUCAGAGUCAUUACUAUUCCUGAGGAAGUUGUAGCAUAUGCCUACCGAAAAACAGAUAUUUUUAAGAACUUUAUCUUUUAUAAGCAAUUAAUGACAAAAUGCGUUACUGAGUUGGUUUUCAAUGCAAGGUCUUUUCUUCCAUGCCUCUGGCAUUUUAGGUGCUGCCCUGGAGACUUGUCAGAGCUGUGCUUUUUGCUACUUCUGUUGUUGAUUACCAUGAGCCAGCCAAGAUAAGAAGACCAAUUUUGUUUAUUCAUUAUUUGUUGUGAUGGAACAUCAUACUAUGUGAGGGGUUAGCUCAUUUCUUUUCUGAGAUUUUAUGUCUUUCACAUUGCUUAAUUAGAACAAUGCUGGCUUUACCCACUUAUAGUAAAUUUUGAGGGCAGGCUUGUGAGCUAUGCAAUACUAAAUCCAGAUCAUCCUAUGUUGUUCUUAGCUAUAUGAAAUGAUGGAUUCUGGUCAUGACAUAAAUAUAUGAAAGAUUUAAAGAUGAGGAUGUUUACUCCUGACAGAUGAGUAGACUUAGAGAAAUUCUAGAGAGUACUUGCUACAGUUUAUCUCUGAAUUCUGUGAAACUAGAAUAUAAAUGCUGUGAAGCACACAUUCUGCUCAUGACUCUUGAAAGCAAUGCAGUAAUGCAAGAGUGAAUGUCAAAUAUGCUUGAAUGGAACUCUACUCUGAAUGUGCUGGGCAAGGAGUAAAUUUUUUUCAACCCUAAAACUCAGAUGAGUAUGAUAGCCAAAAGUUCAGAUAUUGGAUGGAUAAUGAGAGUGAAUGGAAAUUAAAAAUAAAUAAAUAAAAUUCAGGGUUUGAUACUUAGUGUUGCUGAGAUUCACACGUAUGCCAUUUGUCCCAGUUGGUCUGGCAUUUACCUAAUCAGAAACAUGUUGAAGUCAAGCUUUCAGUCAUGUUAGAAUGCAGCCCAGUACUUUGAUGUAGUGCAGCUUGUUGAAUGCUCCUUUGGAGAUUGAUAUGUCUCACUCCCAAUAUCUCAAAACAACCAUAAUUUUUUUGAAUGGUACUCAUCUUUAUUUUUCUGGCAAAAGAUCUGGAAGCAGGUAAGGAUCAUACCGUAUGUUCCUUGCCCUGUUGAAGAAAGGGACAGGUAGUUGUUGCUUGUUCUUAGUGAAAACAUAUCACAGGAAAAAUGGCCCUAUGAAAGCAUUUCUAAGAGUUUACUGAAAUAACAGUAGCUCUUACAGAAAUAAAAAUCUAUCUGAAAACAAGUUUUUCAAGUUGUACUGAUCAUCUUCUCAGAAAAUUGUAGUCAAGUUUCUGAAGCCAUAAGUGUUGCCUUCAUCUCUGACAAAUGAAGUAUCUAAGUCAGCAGCCCAAAGUGAAUUCUGUGUGCAAAGAGGCAAGGAAUUCUUGAGAAUCUCAAUAAAAGUUACAGUCUCCCUUUGAUUAGUGGAGGUUGGAGAGGAAAGGGAAUGUGUGACCAUUCAUCACAGCUCCAGGCUCAUUAGUACCCAGGAACUUUCUACUCUAAAUGACAAAGAGUUUCACUGUCGCCAAAGAGAAAUUGCUGCUGACCUUAGACCUCUUUUUGGAAAGUAAAAUAAUGGAGCACAGGAGCAGAGUUUGAUAUUUGACUGAAUUCUACACAAUUAUCAUGCAUGUGUAUAUAAUAAAAUUAAUUCUGUGUCUCUGCAUUGUAGCCUCCGGCAAGCAGCGUACAAUCAGUUUUGUAUGUAUAAUAGAUCACAGAGUUGUUCAUGAAUAAUACAAAUGCAUUGAGCAGAUACUAGUGAGUGAGGAUGUUUGUCUUUGCAUGGAAUCGAAGUGAACAUGUAAUAUUGUGAUAAUAUAUAUUUGAUGAAUUCAGGUCUGACUUGCCUUUGCCAUAGCCUGCUAAUUCCUUGACAAGGGUUGCCACAAUAAUUGAGUUUCCAAUAACAUUAUGAUUAUUUCCACAUGAUAAUUUAAUUGUAGGUAUUUUUUAAUAUUGUAAUAAUGUAGAUUUGUGAUUAUUAUGCAUUUGCAUGCAGAUUUUCAUGGUGACUUGGAGCACAUCCCUACAUUUAUAACUUAAUUUCCUAUAUUAUUGCAAAUAUAUUUUGGGAUGAACUCAUUAAUGCAAACUAAGGAAAAAAAAGGUCUUUUUACUUGUUUUGCCUUUAUUAUAAAUGGCUGAAAGCUUUGCUCAUUUUUUUUUUAGACCAGUCUAAACAAGUGAAUAAACAAAAGACAACUGUAAUUCACGGAUGGAUUAAUUUAAAAUAAUAAUAUAAUUACAAAUCGUGGCAGAUUUGUCUGAGGUAAUCAGGCUGCAGACUGGUACAAAUUUUUCAUUUGUGAAACAAAACUUGUUUAGAUGAAUCACCAAGUUUCAUAUGGGCUAUUUUCCAUUCUUCCAGUUCCCCUAUUUAAGGCACUGGCAAAGUAACUUCGGCUAAAAAUUAAUGGAUUCCUAUAUGAGUGGAGGUAGCAACAGCAAUGCCUGGGCAUCUGGAUCUAACUAGGUAUUAUUUUGUCACAUGGUAUGCCCCACAAGAACCGAAUUAGGUAUAGAGAGUCAUGAUGCUAGCAGAGCUUUUAACUGUUUCUUUUGGUCUUCUGUGAAAAGAGGCUGGUUACCUUGCUGCUAUCAGCCUUUAAAAGUACCUUAGAGAAUCUUUCUGGAGACACAGAGAGGGGCAAAGGGACAUAGCCAUUUCCCUAGAAAUAAACUCCAUUCUUAUUAACUGGUGCAGAUAUUCAUAUCAUCCUAUUAGCAUCCUGCUUCAGAUAAGAGAGCUCUCUUCCAGUCAUAUCUAAAAUUUGUUUUUAGCACAGUAUUCUUCUAUUUUGAAGAGAAACUUUCCAGAAGUGGUUACAUGGAGCUUAUAUGUUGGUCCUUCUACAACAUGUACUUGAGAAAAAUGAAAAUCUUUGCCAUGUUUUAUCUGUAAAACCUCAGGUCUUCAAACGGAACCCCAGAGUCACAAUGGUGGAAGAGUUCCUGGCCUCCUCCAGGUUAUCAGUACCUGGCAGGAUGCAUUUUCAUUGCCUGCACAGCAGGCACGUGCAAUAGGAGCUCAGAAAAUACCCCCAUUUUUUGACGUGGAUGUCUGUAAGUAAGGACUGAAAAAUAUAAUUUACAGCUAUCCUUUUGCAUUGCUCUUCAAUAUGGGCAAAAUCUGUUGGUUUCAUUGUAUUUGCGCAUGCUUCUACUUUGGGUGUAUUCUCUAAAUUAACUAUGCAGAUCACACGGUGAGACCUGUACAAGUCCCUUCUCUUCCAUCUUUUCUUGCUAUGUGGUCUUAAGGCUUGUACAGAAAAAUAAAAGCUUGUCCUAGACAGCAAAAAGAUCAGCUACACAAAGGUUAGGAAUUGCAAGAGUUCAGGUUUUGGCCCGGAAACUGAAACUUGCAAUUUCUUGACAUCUGGGAUCCUUUCUUGGGGAGGAUAGAGGGCAUUCAGUUCAACUCCAUUCAGCAGAAGUGGAUUUGCAUCCAGGCAACAGUCAGUAGUGUGAGGGGUAAGAUGGCCUCUCUCUGCUCCUAUGCUGUGACUUGAGGGCAAUUGUAUUUGCUGCUUUGCUUUCAGUACUUAAGAAGGAAGUGUUUAGUAUCAGGUCACUUGGAAGGCUUCUUCUGAUGUAAAAUAAUUUGUUGUUUCUGUUGUGUCACUUCAGUCAAGGAGAACAAAAAAAUGUAUAUACAUAAUGUUUAGUUUUCUCGCAACUGUUUUUUUUCUGUUUGUGAACUAGUGGGAACAUACAGCUUCUGUGAGGUAGAGGUGUGGCCUCCUGUGCAUAGACUGACAUUUCCCAGCAUGUUUUGAAGGAAAGCAUUCUUCAAAAAUCAUUUGAGUAAGGAGCUAUUUAUACAUUGCUCAUUGUCCCUUGUGCUUGAAAAUAUGUGGUUCAUACCUACUAGCUGUUCUUCUCGUAAUGGUGAAGGUUUAUUGGUCAUAAUCCUGAAGGUCCCCUGUGUAUCAAGUGAUCGCUGAUUGUAUUGAAAAGGAAUGCUUCUGUGGCAGCAGGCAGCCCUUGGGUUGAAAGAGGUGUCCCUUGUCCCUAAGCAAUAACCUGUACAGAUGAUCGAGACUUGUUGAUAGACCUCCACGGAAGUCUUGCCUGGUAGCUGGGGCUUGGCAGUGUCUGACUCAGUGAGGGAUCCUUCUGUGCAGGAUGACUAAACUUGAUUUGUUGCCCUCAUCAAGGAGGGCAUAAAAGUAGGCAAAAACAGAACAUGCCUUGAGGACCAGGCAGAUGCAGAUUUACUGCAACCUCUGUCUUAUGAGUGGGAGGAGGUAGGUAGAAUUUACAAAGUACAAUUAUUGACUAAUUGCUUCAUCACUGAGUCUGGUAAGGAAUCAGUGAUAUGUCUCCUGAGAGAUCAGUGGUGUCACCUCACAUGUCCUCAGGGUGCCAAGUGGUAUAAAGCGCUCACUUUGAAAGCACUGCACCGUGAUAAGCUCCAACUCCCAAGGGAUGUAUUGUGUGUACAUUUUGUUAUCUAUAAUGACACGCUGAAAAGGUAAUGAAACUGUUAAGGGAACGCUGCGUGCCUAAAAAGAACAUAUUUUUCUUUGAACCAAUAAGAGAGAGAAAGUCUUUCAGAAAAGCAGUUAAAAUAAUAUCAUUUAAAUGUAACAAGUGAUAAAAUACUAGAGAGAAUUCACCUGUCAAAUGAAAAAGUUUAAGACAUGUAGUCUUCUGUGUAACAUACACAUUUCAGAUUGGACUGUUUUCCUGGUAAGGCAACAGACCUCUUCAAAGAAGUUGAUAUAUAUAUACAAAAUUUUGAAUCUGACACAACUGGCAUAAUGGAAACAAUUAUUUUAGAGAGUGGAUAUGAAGAAUAAAUCAUAAAAUAUAGUCAUUUCAUGUAGUCAUUCUUUACAUUAUAUGAGACGCUAUGAGAUUUAACAAGACCAGAGUUGUGAGACUCUGGGAGGUUUUCAGCAAAGGUGAUUUUGUAAUAAAAUAGCUCAGUGCAUAUAAAAAAGAAUACCCUUAGAGAUGUCUAACAACAAUAUUUUGAAAUUAGACUAAAAAAGGCUCAUGUUCUCUUCAACAAAAUUCCGUGUGGACAUAUUCAAAAUUUUUGUAUGGCCUCAGUGUGCUUGGGACCAUUUUCCAGUAGAAAUGUUUUUUACUUACAAUAUGUAUGGAAAUGUACGUGAGUGUUUUCUUUUGUUUCUAAUGCGAAAGCAGAUGCCUUCCCUAAACUUGACACAGAAUGAAAUCUGAGGAUAUGAAAUCCCAGUCAGCAAAGUGACAGAGCAGUUGGGCAAAUGUGUUUUAGAUGAACUUUAAAUGCAAAAUUCAAAUUGUACAAAUAAUCUAUUUGUUGUUAUUCAGAAAGAAACAAAAACUCAUAAGAAAAGUGAAUUGGAUAGAAUAGUAUGAUCGUAUCUUCUAUUACCUCAGUACUGGCCAUCAAUCACUGUCAGUUAAUUAUCAUUAAGAUUGCAUAAAAAAGGCUCCUGUGGGAGCUGGAUGGUCUGUGAGGUUCGUUCUUUCAUUAAAACAAGGCAAACAACAUAAGCUUUCUUUUUUUCUUCCUUUUUUCUUUUUUAUCCCUCCAUCUGAGCCUUUUGUAUAUAAAGAGAUGAUGUGGGGAAGGUGAAUUUUGAAGUGAGUAAUUGUGCUGAGUUACCAUAUAGAUGGCAGGGGCAAGGUAUUAGAACAAAGGAUUCAAAAUUGAAGUAGUCAUUUGUUGGGAAAUUUAAAGAAUUUAAAGUUGGUGUGUUUUUUUUUUUUUUUUUUUUUUUUCCUGAAAAAACACCCACAAAUAGAGCCAGACAGUAGCAUGGCACUUUCUAAAGUCAAAGCUUAUGAGUUCUUUUCUUAGUUUUCACUUCAUAAUUAACUGGGCUGCUUUUAAGCCUCCAGGGUUUAUACUUUUCAAUGAAACAUACAGUUUGGAAACUUCAGUUUUAGAAAAGAGAUAAAAGUUACCCAACUCCAAAGCGUGAUUCUUUGACAGUGCGCUAGACAUCCUGAAAAUUAGUGUGAGUCGCAAAUACAGAAACUUUCAGAGUUUAUCAGCUAAUCUAGGGGACUCGUGCACUUAGCUGCUUGACGGUGGCAGGAACAGGAAUGCACUAUAGGACAUAAGCAGCUACUGUUAUUUCCAUGGUAUUUCCCUGCACUGCUAAGCAGCAGUUCACACUUUUUGAAGUGUCAAGGUUCAUUGAUGGUGCUCUUCAGCAUCACAGACUGAGGCUAGUACUUGAGUUCUGCACAACUUCUGCCUUUAACAUGAAGUUGGCAUUGAAUCAGCUCAUGCUUGCUCAUCGUAAGGACCAUGAAGUUAUUGUGGCAAAGCUCUCUGUUAUGCACAAGAACAAGUUAAAGACUGAAACCUUCAGGACCAAAGACCUCUUCUCCUCAGUAGGAUAAUAAAUUCAAAAUACACGUACUUUUCAUUAGCCAUGUUUAGGCCAACUGCCCAAACAAACUUAAAGUCGGAGUAAAUGCAAACAAAACUAAUAAAUCUCAAAACAGAAUGAAGUCUUCAGCAAUGGUGACCAAUGAGAAGUAGCGAGUGACUUAAACAAGAGUGGAACUGCCCCAGUUAGGGCUGUUCAGGCUGAAUAUAGCCCUUCAGUUCAAUCUAUCUGCCCCUUGUCAACCUCUUUCUCCUGGGGAGGCCUUUUUGUCUGCAUCUAUCCAGUUUGCAGGCAGCACUUAGUGUAUGAUGGGCAGCUAGAUGGUUGCAAGGUGGAGAUAUGUGUUAAGAUUGGAUCAGGUAACUCACUGUGUGUGCAUCCCAGUUUUCUUUAUUGGCCAUUUGCUGACAUGAUGGAAAAGACUGUACUUUGGUUAUGAUCUCAUCAAGGAAACUGGUUUAUACUCUUAUAUGUUUGGUCUCUGUCAUGUGUUGAGUUUUUCAUUCUUAGUUGGCUAUGCUAAUAGAGAAGGAAGGUCUUCCAGUGUCUGUUUUGUUUUGCAAGAGGUGGGACAAUGUUAGCAAGUCUGGAAAGUACAGAGGGAAGAGUUAGGCCACAGCAAGAAGGGACAGUGCAUCUUGAAAGAAAACUGAGAUGGAAACCCUAACCUCUUCUAAUUUACAUAUGGUGACAUUUUGCAGAAAUAUUGUAACAUUAGCAGUGGCAUAAUGAAAUUCUGCCUAUCAGCCGUGGAAGAAAUAAUGUUACUAUAGAGGUAACCUGUUCACAGUUUGUUAUCAAGAAAAUAUUCAUGCCAAGAAACAUACAUUUACCAAUGAGUGUUAAGAACAGUGGUUUUUUUCCUUAUAUUUUUUUCUUCGUGGGCUAUCCAUCUUCCCCUCCAGAUUUACUGCAUGAUCACUCCCUUUACAUGCUAAUUAUGUGCAGCUCUGGUGAAUUUGUUAGUAGUGACACUUCGGGCACCCAGUGGGACUGCAACUCAUUAUGUGGCAAUGUCCAGAUAUAUCAGAUAUUAUUAGCUGUCAUUAAUCUGCUGUGGAAACAUUGAGUGCACAGCCAGGAGAGAGACCAGGAAAUAGAGUAAAAAUGAAGUCUGCAACUGCCCUGGCCCCCAAAAGGUCAGAGAGCAAAUCAGCAGGAGAGAAGAAUACACCUUAAAAUGGCCAGUGCUUAGUAGCAGAUUUUUAACCCAUUGUAAACCAAUAUUUCUCAGCAUAGGAAAGACAAAAAGAAAUGAUGCUGUUUGUAAUGACUGUAUGACUGUGCUUUACUGCUGGAGGAAGGAAGACAUUCUCUCAAACUACUGCUUUCUGAAGGGAUAUUGUAGAAUCACAUCUCAGAAAGAACAAAAGUGUGUGAAGAGAAGGAAGAGUAAGCAAAUAGCAGUAUUUAUCUCAAUGUGGAUAGCACCAAAGCUCAAAUCUUUGAAAUUACACACAUGUAAUUCAGCAUAUGGCUUGGCCUUCUCUACGUUUGAAGGUAAUGUUUUAUAGAACCAGACUUGGCAGCAGCAAAAAUCCUGUGGGAAUCAAGAGCUUGCUCUUGCUGUUCAUAUAGUUCUGGAAUUACAUGCCUGUGCUCACUAGUGCUCACUAGCAUUUGUUAUGCAGCUUAAAAACAAAAAUCAGGAUACAUUUUUGGCAUCAAUUCUGAGAAGCCGUCACUUAUAAUAGUUAUGCUUAUCUGUGAUUAUGUAGCAUUAAUUACAUUGCUUCGGUAGCAGCAGUAAAAAUGAAGGAAAGAUUCUUACCAGAAUGCUCCGGAGUAUUUUCAGUGCGACACGUAGCCCAGGACUGCAUGAAGUCAUGUCUUCUUUCUUUUGAUCUCUAAUAAGGUUUGUAGAGACCAGGCAAGCUUUAAGACAUCUAGAGUUAUCUCUGCUCUGAGAUUAAAAUGGAAAACACUGAAGUACGGGCUAGAAAU
ensembl:lncRNA